UCCGGAGUAGCUCAAUGGUAGAGCACCGCCCUGUUAAGGCGAUUGUUGCCGGUUCGAGUCCGGCCUCCGGAGCCA
rnacentral:tRNA from 1 species